rnacentral:rRNA from 1 species
GAUGAACGCUGGCGGCGUGCCUAAUACAUGCAAGUCGAGCGAACGGACGAGAAGCUUGCUUCUCUGAUGUUAGCGGCGGACGGGUGAGUAACACGUGGAUAACCUACCUAUAAGACUGGGAUAAAUUCGGGAAACCGGAGCGAAUACCGGAUGAUAUUUUGAACCGCAUGGUUCAAAAGUGAAAGACGGUCUUGCUGUCACUUAUAGAUGGAUCCGCGCUGCAUUAGCUAGUUGGUAAGGUAACGGCUUACCAAGGCAACGAUGCAUAGCCGACCUGAGAGGGUGAUCGGCCACACUGGAACUGAGACACGGUCCAGACUCCUACGGGAGGCAGCAGUAGGGAAUCUUCCGCAAUGGGCGAAAGCCUGACGGAGCCACGCCGCGUGAGUGAUGAAGGUCUUCGGAUCGUAAAACUCUGUUAUUAGGGAAGAACAUAUGUGUAAGUAACUGUGCACAUCUUGACGGUACCUAAUCAGAAAGCCACGGCUAACUACGUG